CCUUGCUUUAAGGGAAACUUACCUUUCCUGCUCUUCACUGACUUCUUGAUUCUCGUGGCUUUGGCUGCUAUUUUGCCUUGCUUUGCUUUGCUGUGCUAUGCAUUGCUUUCCCUGUUUCUUGCCAUCCACUCCUUCCUUCGAGUUAUUUCUUUAACUUUUUGACUGGCUUUUUCUUCUUUUCUCUUUACCUUUCUUCUCUUGUCAUUAUCCGUUUUUCCUUUCGUUUUUUCUUUUUUCAUCUAUUUUUUUUUCUUUUUUUUUUUUUUUUCUUUUUUUCAUAUUUUUCUGUCUCUUUUUUAUUUCUUUUCCUUUUUUUUUUCUUUAUCUUUUUUUCUUUUUUUUAGUCUUUUUCUCUUUUCUUCUUUUUUUGUUCCUUUUUUUUUUUCUUUUUCUCUUUUUCUCUUUUUUGUCCAUUUUUUUCUUUUCUCUUUUUUCUUAUUUUUGGUUCAUUUUUUUCUUUUCUCUUUUUUGUCUUUUUUGUUCAUUUUUUUUCUUUCCUUUUUUCUCUUUUUCUUAUUUUUCUUUUCUUUUUUCUCUUAUUUCAUAUUUUUUGUGCUUAUUUUUUCUUUUCUUUUUUCAUCAUUGGUUUGCCUUCAGCCCUCCCCUCAGCCCUUCCCUCCGCUCUGCUCUUCACCCAUCCCCUCCCCUCCCCAUCCCCUCUUUCUCCCUUACCCUCCCCUUUCCCCUUGCCUCUGCCUCCCAUUACCUUGCCUGCCCUUCACUUACCUUCUCCUCACUUCCUGCUUCUUGAUGCUAUGGGCUUUGCUGCUACUCACGCCAAACCUCAGCACUUGCCUACUCUGCUUGCUGCUCUGCCAAGUUGCUCUCUACUCUGCUCACAGCUUCACGCCUACUGCCUGCCCUUCUCUGUCCCCUUCUCGUGCCCUUCAGGCUUUUUCCUCCCCUUGCUGAGCAAGGCCAUGCCCGGUAGCUACCCUUGAACCUCCUCCGCCCUUUGCCUUCCUCCACAGAGAUGCUUGCUUCUGGCCAGCACUCCUGCCCGGUGCCUAGCCCACACACCUCAUCUCUUGGGGGAAUAGCAAGGUGGCCUGUAGCUACCCACACC
rnacentral:lncRNA from 7 species